rnacentral:rRNA from 1 species
UACGAAGGGAGCUAGCGUUGUUCGGAAUCACUGGGCGUAAAGCGCACGUAGGCGGAUUGCUAAGUCAGGGGUGAAAUCCCGGGGCUCAACCUCGGAACUGCCUUUGAUACUGGCGGUCUAGAGUCCGGAAGAGGUGGGUGGAAUUCCUAGUGUAGAGGUGAAAUUCAUAGAGAUUAGGAAGAACACCGGUGGCGAAGGCGGCCCACUGGUCCGGUACUGACGAUGAGGUGCGAAAGAGUGGGGAGCAAACAGG